GGGGUUGUGGCUCAGUGAUAGAGCGCCUGCUUAGCAUGCAUGAGGCAGUGGGUUCGAUCCCCAGCAUCA
rnacentral:tRNA from 1 species